AGUGAACGCUGGCGGUAGGCCUAACACAUGCAAGUCGAACGGCAGCACAGUAAGAGCUUGCUCUUACGGGUGGCGAGUGGCGGACGGGUGAGGAAUACAUCGGAAUCUACUUUUUCGUGGGGGAUAACGUAGGGAAACUUACGCUAAUACCGCAUACGACCUACGGGUGAAAGCAGGGGAUCUUCGGACCUUGCGCGAUUGAAUGAGCCGAUGUCGGAUUAGCUAGUUGGCGGGGUGAAGGCCCACCAAGGCGACGAUCCGUAGCUGGUCUGAGAGGAUGAUCAGCCACACUGGAACUGGGACACGGUCCAGACUACUACGGGAGGCAGCAGUGGGGAAUAUUGGACAAUGGGCGCAAGCCUGAUCCAGCCAUACCGCGUGGGUGAAGAAGGCCUUCGGGUUGUAAAGCCCUUUUGUUGGGAAAGAAAAGCAGCAGGUUAAUACCCCGCUGUUCUGACGGUACCCAAAGAAUAAGCACCGGCUAACUUCGUG
rnacentral:rRNA from 1 species